UACAGAGGGUGCAAGCGUUAUUCGGAUUUACUGGGCGUAAAGGGCGCGUAGGUGGUUUGGUAAGUCUGGUGUGAAAUCCCUCGACUCAAUCGAGGAAGUGCACCGGAUACUGCUAGACUAGAGUAUGGGAGAGGUGAGUGGAAUUCCAGGUGUAGAGGUGAAAUUCGUAGAUAUCUGGAGGAACAACAGAGGCGAAGGCGGCUCACUGGACCAUUACUGACACUGAGGCGCGAAAGCGUGGGGAGCAAACAGG
rnacentral:rRNA from 1 species